UUUUUUGCGUUAUAUAUUUUACUAAAGCUUCUGUAAAUUUGGUAAGAGCCAUGUUAUUUUUACGAAUUAUCAAAUUCAAAAGUCCUGAUAUUUCGCUUUUUUAUGAAUAACCAGGGUUCCGGUCUCUGGUACGUGCGCACAAUUCUCGACUGCAAUGAUGAAUUACCACGAUUCGUCAGCAAUGCGACCAUCGAUAAACAUAAAUUGAAUCGUACGCAUGACUUAUAUGAUUUAGAGUUUGAUGUAUAUGAAACCGUGGGAAAUACCUAUGGGGUACUAAUAAAUUUUUACAAACACUCAGACGGCGGUAGCAGGCUAAUUCAAGUGAUGGCAGAGAAUAAUAUAGAAAAGUUUGUUGAAAAGUAUGCUCCUAAUAACGCAAAGGUGGCUUUUACUAAGGCUGGAAUCGAUCCUCCAGGCUUUCCCAUCAAAGCGGGUUCUUACAAAAUAGAAGACUUCUUCUUUAACCAUUGUGAAUUGCCAGAUAUGGCCAUAUAUGGAGAGUAUACCGUAGAUGCAUUUAUCGUGAAAGAUGAUAUACGAGUGGCAUGCUUCAGGGGACACGUUGACUUUAGGGAGGACGAAGACGAUAUUUGCAAUCGAACUUCAUCCACAGCAGAACGGAUAGGGACUUUGAAGACUUUAUAUUGAAAUCUUCGUUAUACUUAUGUG